GCCUGGGUGGCUCCAUAGGUUAAGCAUCUGACUUCGGCUCAGGUCAUGAUCUCAUGGUUCGUGGGUUCAAACCCCGUGUCAGGCU
rnacentral:tRNA from 1 species